AGAGUUUGAUCAUGGCUCAGAACGAACGUUGGCGGCGUGGAUUAGGCAUGCAAGUCGGGGGAAUCCCAGCAAUGGGGGAACCGGCGUAAGGGGCAGUAAGGCAUGGGUACCUACCCCAGGGUUCGGGAUAGCCAUCAGAGAUGGUGGGUAAUACCGGAUGAUGUCGUGAGACCAAAGAUUUAUCGCCCUGGGAGGGGCCCAUGUGAUAUUAGCUUGUUGGUGAGGUAAUGGCUCACCAAGGCAAAGAUGUCUAGCGGGUGUGAGAGCACGACCCGCGCCACUCGCACUGAGACACUGGCGAGACACCUACGGGUGGCUGCAGUCGAGGAUCUUCGGCAAUGAGCGCAAGCUUGACCGAGCGACGCCGCGUGUGCGAUGAAGGCCUUCGGGUUGUAAAGCACUGUCGAGGGGGAGAAAAGGGAAACCUUGAUCUAUCCCUGGAGGAAGCACGGGCUAAGUUCGUGCCAGCAGCCGCGGUAAGACGAACCGUGCGAACGUUGUUCGGAAUCACUGGGCUUAAAGGGCGCGUAGGCGGGCUGUCAAGUCUGGGGUGAAAUCCCGCGGCUCAACCGUGGAACUGCCUUAGAUACUGACGGCCUUGAGGGAGGUAGGGGCGAGCGGAACUGUGAGUGGAGCGGUGAAAUGCGUUGAUAUUCACAGGAACUCCGGUGGCGAAGGCGGCUCGCUGGCCCUCUUCUGACGCUGAGGCGCGAAAGCUAGGGGAGCAAACGGGAUUAGAUACCCCAGUAGUCC
rnacentral:rRNA from 1 species